rnacentral:piRNA from 1 species
UGUAUAAGUUUCCUUAUCUAAUGACUGUCC